CUGUCAUUCUUCUCACCCUGAUAGUCGUCUGUUGGUACAAAAAAACUACAGGUAAGAUUUCAGCACUAAAUCACAAGAAGAACGUUUCAGUGUUUUUCAGUAUCUUUUUAUUUUUUACAGAAAGAUGCCAGAACAGGUGGGUCUUAUUCAGAUCAUUUUAAGUUAGUGGUUUGUAUCAUAAAGAGUUUUAUUUAGACUACCAAUCAAAAGUUUGGACACACUUUUUCAUUCAUGUUUCCUUAUUUCUAUGAUUAUUCACCUGUAGAUUCUCACAUAUGGAAUGUCGGAAACAAAAAAUAAACUCAAAGUAACUCCAAACUUGUUUUAGAUUUUUAAAAAUAGCCACCCUUUUCUUUGAUCACUGCUUUGCAUUUUUAGCAUUUCUUGACCUUGAUAUGACACAGCUUGAAGUGAAAACCAUUUCAGGAGACUUUAUCAUCACUGAGAGAAGGCCAGGGGUUUGCAGCACUGUCAACAAAGUAAAGGAUGGAUACUUUGAGGAUUUGAAUAGAAUACUCUUUUUAAUUGUAUUCUCUGUAUAGCGUCUUUGAGUGUUUAGAAAAGUGCUAUAUAUAUAAAAAAUAAUAGUGAUGAUGAAAAACAUAUUUAAUUGAGUUAAAACACUUUUUUCCUUUCCUCCAAUUCCAUAUAUCAUGUUUGUAUCAUAUAUUUGAUGUCUUCUAUAUGUAGAAAAUAUAGAAAGAAGUAAACAAAAAAACAUACAGUGAAUGAGAAGGUGUGUCCAAACUCGUGACUUGUCGUGUAAACAUAAUCUUGAUGUUUAAGUGACGCUGAAAAUGACCCGGAGGAUUCACCUGCCGACAAUCAGCAGCAGUUGUAUUCAUCUCUUCUUCACAGUGAUGUUAAUGUCUAUGAACCUAUCAGAGGCUCAAACAGCAAAGAUGCUGAGGAAACAAGCGACUAUGCAAA